rnacentral:rRNA from 1 species
CAGCAGCCACGGUAAUACGAAGGGUGCAAGCGUUAAUCGGAAUUACUGGGCGUAAAGCGUGCGUAGGCGGUGAGUUAAGUCUGCUGUGAAAUCCCCGGGCUCAACCUGGGAACUGCAUUUGUGACUGGCAAGCUAGAGUCUGGCAGAGGGGGGUGGAAUUCCGCGUGUAGCAGUGAAAUGCGUAGAUAUGCGGAGGAACACCGAUGGCGAAGGCAGCCCCCUGGGCCAACACUGACGCUCAUGCACGAAAGCGUGGGGAGCAAACAGGAUUAGAUACCCCCGUAGUCCCUGUCUCUUAUAC